AACCGACUCCACUUUAGCUCGAAUGAAAUGUCCGUCUCCUCCCGGCGCCGUCCCCGCCGCCAACGCCGCCGCGGCCGGGGCCACUCGCCUCCCUCCCGCCCGCCCUCCCGCCCGGGCCGGGGCCGGGGGCCGGGGCCGGGCCGGCGCCUGCGAGGCCGCUCCCGCUGCGGGCCCGGCCGGGGAGCGGGCGCGGGGCCGCGGCGCGGCUCUUUGUGCGCCCGGCCGAGCAGCGGCGGGACGCGGGCCAGGCCGCCUCCUGCUCGCCGCCGCCGCCGCCGCCGAGCUCCGGGCCCGAGGCCGAGGAGGGGGCGUCGGGGCACCGGCCGGCCCCCUCUCGGCGGCGCCCCGGCCGGCUCCAUUUUGUGCGGGGAGCCGGGCGGGGGCACUGGCCCGGCCCCCGGCCCCGACCCCGCGCCCUUGGCCGGGCUGCCGCGCGGAGUCCCCGGGGGCGCCCCCCUCCCGCCUGCCCGUGGCCGGCGGGGGCAUGGCGGGGCCGGGCCGCUUUGUCUGCCCUGGCGCCCGGGCGCGGCGGGCGGGCGGGCGGGCAGGCGUUGGGCGCGGGCCCGGGCCCUGGGCGGGCGAGUCGGGGGAUGCGCGCCAGGGGCGGCCGCCCCUCGCCGGCGGGACUGACAGUCGGCCGCGCGGGGCGGUGGGGCCGGGGCCAGCCAGCGCACCUUCGUGGGGAGGAAGCGAGGUCCCCGGGAGGAAGGAGUGGAUUUGGUUUCCCCGCAGUCUGGUUUACACGUAAAGAAUGCAGCCAUCUGGCGGCUUGCGGUCCCUGGACUUGCCCCGAAGGUGGGAAGGAAGCCUUUCGGAUUGGACUAAGGUUUUAAUCUUCGGUGGGAGGCGGGGAGGAUCUGCCGGGCCUGAGGAGCAGUAGUCUCCGAGAACAAAGAAUUAGAGAGCACCCACAAGUCGUAAUCUUGCCCAAAGUACUGUAACAAGCAUAUAAUCUGGAGUGUUGUGAUGAAUAUUUAUGAUGAACAUGACGAGAUUCAGGGUUAUGUUGGAAAAGCAGUUCCUCCCUGCUAUAGAAUUAACUUUUUUGCAAAGUCUCCAAAAGAUAUCUGCCAGUUCAAGAAACCUUUAUUGGACGCCUGCUUUUUUGUCCUCAAUUGAAUAAGAAGAGUUGAAAUUGGGCAAAGAUUAGACACCUUUUAGGUGUUUCUGAACACCACUGACAACACGGUUCUGACAGUAUUUCAUGA